UACGUAGGGGGCAAGCGUUGUCCGGAAUCAUUGGGCGUAAAGGGCGGGUAGGCGGCCACCGCAGGUCAGUUGUGAAAUCUCUGGGCUUAACCCAGAAAGGUCAACUGAUACUGCGGGGCUAGAGUGCAGAAGGGGCAACUGGAAUUCUCGGUGUAGCGGUGAAAUGCGUAGAUAUCGAGAGGAACACCUGCGGCGAAGGCGGGUUGCUGGGCUGACACUGACGCUGAACUGCGAAAGCUAGGGGAGCGAACGGG
rnacentral:rRNA from 1 species